rnacentral:snRNA from 1 species
GGAUUUGUGGGCAAUUUGGCUGUGACGUUUGUAACCCCAUUGAUCACCACAGUUGAUUUAGCUGAUUGGACUGGCUAGGUAUGUGUCCUCUCUCCCUCACCACCCUUUGUGUGUCCUUACCAAAGCCAUGUGGAAAAAGAUGACUAUCCAAGAUAGAAGUUGCAUACUGAUCUUCAGACAAAGGUAUAUGAUAGCUGCACUCCUCUGCUAGAACCUCCAAACAAACCUUAAAUGGAGAAGUCAGACACAGGAAGACCUGACCAUAUCAUGACUUCCAACAAUGCUGUUGUCAGCAUU